ensembl:snRNA U6 U6 spliceosomal RNA
GUGCUAGUUUCAGCAGCACAUAUACUAAAAUUGGAAUGAUGCAGAGAAGAUUAGCAUGUCCCCUGCAUAAAGAUGACAUGCAAAUUCAUGAAGCGUUUCAUAUUUUA